rnacentral:lncRNA from 1 species
AACUAUUGGUGUUUUUCCUUGCGUGUGGAGUAGGGCUGCCUAAUAGGGCCAGUAUUUUCUUAGAGGGAGAGGGGUGUGUGUCCUGAGGACUCUAGAUAAGUGGAAAACGCUGUAAUAAAUUCUUCAUAAUUAAUACGCACCCCAUACACUCAAGGCAGCUUGGGCCAUAGCAAUAACCACUCAGAAUUCAUCCCAACCACUAACCCUGAGCCCAAUAAUCUCUCUCCGAAUUUCUAGUUUGAGGGAAAACAGUCCUUCCCAGUGGGUUGUGGGUCGGCACCUGUGGGCCAGGCCGGUCCUGGCUCCCUCCUUCCUACCUCUGUCCUCUGCCCUGCCUUGGUCUCUUUUUCUGGGGCAGGGUGGUGCUGUCUAUUCAGGCAGGGGUUGGGGGAGCCUGGGCCACCGUGGAGGACAACAGGAGCUGUGUUAAUGGGCAGUUUGGGGAAGGAGCCAUGUUGGAGGAGUAUGUGGUUCCCAUUGGAGGUUGGGGUGUUCUCGGGCUGGGGACAAAGAUGCUGUAUUUGUUGCUGGCCUUGAGUUGAUGUGACAGUUGUGAGGUGAAGUCUAGACAUCUAAUGAUCUGUAACAUUUGCUGUACCCCAAUCUCCACUUAGAUAUGGGAGAGUCCUAACCGGAGAGUCAGGAGCCGUACCCACCCCAUAGCGUCUGACUUUUAAGGCAUCCUUCUCCCUAAGGGAGAGGCCCCCAGGCUGAGGACCAUCUCCCUCAGAUAACCCCACACAUACUCGGUGGACUUCCCAGCCUGGGAGGCCCCUGAGUCCACCCAAAAAGAGGUGGGGAAGGAGCUGGGAAACCCUCCCUAACCCUCUCCUUUCCCUAGGGUUUCCCGUCACUCACCACUUCCCCUCGGAUCCUGCACAGGCUGUGGGUUGGGGGAAUGACUACCCACGCACACGCACGCGCACACUCCUCAGCCUCCAGCACACUUCAUCCACUCUCCGGACUGCAAAUUUAGCAGCCCAAACCCGGAGCGCACUCGAGACCCUGUCGCAGGUUUCUAAUUGUUAGGGACCCCUGUUGCCCACUCCAGUCCUAUCCCCCGCCCCAGGGCCCGUCCUCCCACUACCCCACCCCUGCAGCCGUCACACCACGAAUGUAAGUUCGGUCUUUUUAACCAGCUGCUACUUGGCGUGCCCCUGGUACCGCCGGCCUCGGAAUCC